rfam:Leptosomus discolor contig9602, whole genome shotgun sequence.
GUUAAAAGCUAGGGCUAGGACUUGGAGGAUGUGUAGGCAAACGGAAGGAGAGCCGGGGGAAGAAAAACCGAAAUGGAUUCAUUCUCUGUCCUGGAUGGAGGAGGAGAGGAGAAGAGAAGGGGACGUGCGAGCUUCCUUCAACUGCCUCUGUCCGGUGAAAAGUGCUCAGACCCCCGGGGCUGAGCCGGGCUCAGGAGUCCGCGCGGACUUUC